UAUACUUAUGACGGGCCCUGUACUGAUGGGCCCUAUACUUAAACAGAUCUGUUAUACCCCCUUUAAUAGCGUUUUGAUACACAGGGAUAAAUCAGGGGCACACAGAGUGUUUGAUGGCCAUCAGCCCAGAACAGUAUGAAGACCGAACAGCUAAAACAAUCCUUCCUUCCUCAUGGAUAUUUUUGAAGGCUAUGAAAAAGACAUGACAUUGACUCCUGAGUGUUGAACUUUUGCCCACUCCAUAGCCACCCAGGUUAUUAUAUGACCCUGAUGGUCAUCUACGCAGGUUGGAACAUUUUGAACAUGUACUCUUUAAUGUCCACUCAGCACAGCCCUCGGAGCAUGGUACCGCUCUAGGUUUAACUCUUCUAGGGAGUGUUUCCUAGAGGCUGUGCUUCGGCAUAUCCACUGAUAGACUUUUAGACUGGGUAUCUGUAAACCACUUGUGUGACAACUGCUUAUGCAAAAAGGGGUUUUAAGAAAUACAUUUGGUUGAUUGACAGAUUUGUAUUAUUACAAAAAUAAUAUAACAAUAUUAUUAUAAUUAUUAUUAUUAUGUUACAGGUGAGACGUACCCAGAAAUGUCAACGUCAUGUCAAGUGCUCAAAUCUGUACACCAGCCCCAUACAAUCACGUACAGUAGCUCCAACUUACAAGAAUGUGUUUACAAGACAGUGAUGAAAACAGUUUAUAUGAGCUCUAAUUCAGACAUAGAAUUUAUAUAUAUAUUUUGAUACCCUUACCCAUUCAAAACUGUUGUUACAAAAUCACUUCUCGUUGUGUUCAUUUCAAGGUUUCACAAACCGAAAACAACUACGUAGUUAUGUUUCUCGGACUAACACGCUGGGGAGUUUCCUAUUUACUAAAGAACAAUCAUUAAGUCAAAACACAAACAAUUAUAAUAUCAUUUGUGUACGUGUCAUUCUAUACUGAAAACAGGUACAUUCUGAAAGAUUUGAUAACAUGUGAUAACACAUGUUUUGUUCAUGUCUCAAUUUAGCAUAAUACUGUUUAUUUUAUAUUUUACUUCAAUUGUAAUCUUUUUGUUGUCUCAUACCAUGCUAAUACACUAACAAGCAACGCAAACAGAUGUGGAAUUAACCCCCCCCAAAAACAAUUGUGUGUCUUUAUGGAUCAAGGAUUGAUCAAGAAUACUAAUAGGCAGGAUCAGAUCCUCUUUCCUAUUCAGGCAUCAUAUAAUACACAGCCACAUGCAAAUCCAUCAACUCCACCAAUAAAACAUUGAAAACGUUAACAUGACUGCUGGCAAUGUCAUUAUUUUUGUCACCAUCCAUCGAUGGUUGAAUUGUGUUAUUGUUCUUUGCACCGAGCUUCCAGUGGCUGGAGCCAAUCAACGUGGCAAAUUAAAAAUACCCAAAAUAAAACGUAUGCGAAAAGCUGUGCUGUUUUUCGUUGUUAUUUUUUUGUUGUUGUUACAACAACCAUGUCUUCCUAACAUUUGCCAUAACUAGUAAGUCUUACAUCCUGAAUGCAUAUGGGCUACCAAAUAUGCACCUGGGGACACAUGGGAGGGGUGGGAACACAUGCCCUUCUAAGU